rnacentral:rRNA from 1 species
GACGAACGCAGGCGGCGUGCAUAAUACAUGCAAGUCGAACGAGAGCGACUGGUGCUUGCACUGGUCAAUCUCGUGGCGAACGGGUGAGUAACACGUGGGUAACCUGCCCAUCAGAGGGGGAUAACAUUCGGAAACGGAUGCUAAAACCGCAUAGGUCUUCGAGCCGCAUGGCUUGAAGAGGAAAAGAGGCGCAAGCUUCUGCUGAUGGAUGGACCCGCGGUGCAUUAGCUAGUUGGUGAGGUAACGGCUCACCAAGGCCGUGAUGCAUAGCCGACCUGAGAGGGUGAUCGGCCACAUUGGGACUGAGACACGGCCCAAACUCCUACGGGAGGCAGCAGUAGGGAAUCUUCCGCAAUGGACGCAAGUCUGACGGAGCAACGCCGCGUGAGUGAAGAAGGUUUUCGGAUCGUAAAACUCUGUUGUUAGAGAAGAACAAGUGCUAGAGUAACUGUUAGCGCCUUGACGGUAUCUAACCAGAAAGCCACGGCUAACUACGUGCCAGCAGCCGCGGUAAUACGUAGGUGGCAAGCGUUGUCCGGAUUUAUUGGGCGUAAAGCGAGCGCAGGCGGUUCCUUAAGUCUGAUGUGAAAGCCCCCGGCUCAACCGGGGAGGGUCAUUGGAAACUGGGGAACUUGAGUGCAGAAGAGGAGAGUGGAAUUCCAUGUGUAGCGGUGAAAUGCGUAGAUAUAUGGAGGAACACCAGUGGCGAAGGCGACUCUCUGGUCUGUAACUGACGCUGAGGCUCGAAAGCGUGGGUAGCAAACAGG